GCGGGAGUAGUUCAGUGGCAGAACGUCUCCUUGCCAAGGAGAAGGUCGCGGGUUCAAGUCCCGUCUCCCGCUCCA
rnacentral:tRNA from 1 species